rnacentral:rRNA from 1 species
ACACGACUACAUUAGAUACCCGGGUAGUCCAUGGUGUAAACGCUGCAGACUUGGUGUUGGAGGCCCUUUGGGGGCAUUCAGUGCCGGAGAGAAGUUGUUAAGUCUGCUACUUGGGGAGUACGUCCGCAAGGAUGAAACUUAAAGGAAUUGGCGGGGGAGCACCGCAACGGGAGGAGCGUGCGGUUUAAUUGGAUUCAACACCGUAAACUCACCAGGGAAGACUGUUACAUGAAGGCCGAGAUGAAGACUCUGCUAGAUUUUCAG